CAGCAGCCGCGGGAAAACGUAGGUGGCGAGCGUUGUCCGGAUUUAUUGGGCGUAAAGGGAGUGUAGGCGGUCUUUUAAGUCUGAUGUGAAAGCCCACGGCUCAACCGUGGAGGGUCAUUGGAAACUGGGAGACUUGAGUGCAGAAGAGGAGAGCGAAGUUCCAUGUGUAGCGGUGAAAUGCGUAGAGAUGUGGAGGAACACCAGUGGCGAAGGCGACUCUCUGGUCUGUAACUGACGCUGAGGAGCGAAAGCGUGGGGAGCGAACAGGAUUAGAUACCCGUGUAGUCCCUGUCUCUUAUAC
rnacentral:rRNA from 1 species